rnacentral:rRNA from 1 species
AACGAACGCUGGCGGCAUGCCUAACACAUGCAAGUCGAACGAGACCUUCGGGUCUAGUGGCGCACGGGUGCGUAACGCGUGGGAACCUGCCCUUAGGUUCGGAAUAACUCCCCGAAAGGGGUGCUAAUACCGGAUAAUGUCUUCGGACCAAAGAUUUAUGGCCUUUGGAUGGGCCCGCGUUGGAUUAGCUAGUUGGUAGGGUAAAAGCCUACCAAGGCGACGAUCCAUAGCUGGUCUGAGAGGAUGAUCAGCCACACUGGGGAUGAGACACGGCCCAGACUGGUACGGGAGGGAGCAGUGGGGAAUAUUAGAGGAGGAGCGAAAGUCUGAUACAGCAAUGCCGCGUGAGUGAUGAAGGCCUUAGGGUUGUAAAGCUCUUUUACCCGGGAUGAUAAUGACAGUACCGGGAAAAUAAGCUCCGGCUAACUCCGUG